rnacentral:sRNA from 1 species
GGCAGACCGGGAAAAUGGUCGGAUCCAGUGUUUUAAAACUGACACCAAAGAAUUUGUGAGAGAGAUUAAGCAUUCAUCAUUUGGAAGAAAUGUAUUUGCAAUUUCAUAUAUACCAGGCUUGCUCUUUGCAGUGAAUGGGAAGCCUCAUUUUGGGGACCAAGAACCUGUACAAGGAUUUGUGAUGAACUUUUCCAAUGGGGAAAUUAUAGACAUCUUCAAGCCAGUGCGCAAGCACUUUGAUAUGCCUCAUGAUAUUGUUGCAUCUGAAGAUGGGACUGUGUACAUUGGAGAUGCUCAUACCAACACUGUGUGGAAGUUCACCUUGACUGAGAAAAUGGAACAUCGAUCAGUUAAAAAGGCUGGCAUUGAGGUCCAGGAAAUCAAAGAAGCCGAGGCAGUUGUUGAAACCAAAAUGGAGAACAAACCCACCUCCUCAGAAUUGCAGAAGAUGCAAGAGAAACAGAAACUGAUCAAAGAGCCAGGCUCGGGAGUGCCUGUUGUUCUCAUUACAACCCUUCUGGUUAUUCCGGUGGUUGUCCUGCUGGCCAUUGCCAUAUUUAUUCGGUGGAAAAAAUCAAGGGCCUUUGGAGCAGAUUCUGAACACAAACUCGAGACAAGUUCAGGAAGAGUA